rnacentral:misc_RNA from 1 species
AACUGAUACUACCUGCGGGAACCUGCGGAGGGAUCAUUACCGAGUUUACAACUCCCAAACCCCUGUGAACAUACCACUUGUUGCCUCGGCGGAUCAGCCCGCUCCCGGUAAAACGGGACGGCCCGCCAGAGGACCCCUAAACUCUGUUUCUAUAUGUAACUUCUGAGUAAAACCAUAAAUAAAUCAAAACUUUUAACAAUGGAUCUCU